rnacentral:rRNA from 1 species
GAUGAACGCUGGCGGCGUGCCUAAUACAUGCAAGUCGAGCGAACAGACGAGGAGCUUGCUCCUCUGACGUUAGCGGCGGACGGGUGAGUAACACGUGGAUAACCUACCUAUAAGACUGGGAUAACUUCGGGAAACCGGAGCUAAUACCGGAUAAUAUAUUGAACCGCAUGGUUCAAUAGUGAAAGACGGUUUUGCUGUCACUUAUAGAUGGAUCCGCGCCGCAUUAGCUAGUUGGUAAGGUAACGGCUUACCAAGGCAACGAUGCGUAGCCGACCUGAGAGGGUGAUCGGCCACACUGGAACCGAGACACGGUCCAGACUCCUACGGGAGGCAGCAGUAGGGAAUCUUCCGCAAUGGGCGAAAGCCUGACGGAGCAACGCCGCGUGAGUGAUGAAGGUCUUCGGAUCGUAAAACUCUGUUAUUAGGGAAGAACAAAUGUGUAAGUAACUAUGCACGUCUUGACGGUACCUAAUCAGAAAGCCACGGCGAACUACG